rnacentral:rRNA from 1 species
GGAGGGUGCGAGCGUUGUUCGGAAUCAUUGGGCGUAAAGCGCGUGUAGGCGGGCAGGUCAGUCAGGUGUGAAAGCCCGGGGCUCAACCUCGGAACUGCGCUUGAUACUACCUGUCUUGAGUACGGGAGGGGGAAGCGGAAUUCUUGGUGUAGGGGUGAAAUCCGUAGAUAUCAGGAGGAACACCGAUAGCGAAGGCAGCUUCCUGGACCGAUACUGACGCUGAGACGCGAAAGCGUGGGGAGCAAACAGGGAUUAGAUACCCUGGUAGUCCACGCCGUAAACGAUGUUCACUAGGUGCUGCGGGUAUUGACCCCCCCUGCGGUGCCGCAGCUAACGCAUUAAGUGAACCGCCUGGGGAUACGGCCGCAAGGUUA